rnacentral:rRNA from 1 species
GUUCCUACGGGAGGCAGCAGUAGGGAAUCUUCGGCAAUGGGCGAAAGCCUGACCCAGCAACGCCGCGUGAAGGAAGAAGGCUUUCGGGUUGCAAACUUCUUUUGUCAGGGACGAAGCAAGUGACGGUACCUGACGAAUAAGCCACGGCUAACUACGUGCCAGCAGCCGCGGUAAUACGUAGGUGGCAAGCGUUAUCCGGAUUUAUUGGGUGUAAAGGGCGUGUAGGCGGGAAUGCAAGUCAGAUGUGAAAACUAUGGGCUCAACCCAUAGCCUGAUUUUGAAACUGUAUUUCUUGAGUGCUGGAG